CGUACAGUCCGUACCAUCCAAGUCUCAACCUAAACUUACCUUGCACAAGUGAAACGGUAACUAUGGAAGAGUUACUCAAGUGGAGAAGGAUCAGACCGUUUAAGGGAUAAGGGACGCGCAUUGCCAGGCUGGGACAGGCUGGAAAGCUAAAGCAACUUUAGUCCAAGAUGCCAUAAGCGUGUGGUGCUUGCUAGUGGUUGAUUUGAAUCCUUUACCUUGACUUCACAUGCUUUCUCCUAACCUUUGCGAUUUGUAAACCCUAGUAGCUCUCCUAUAUAUUGUAACUCAUCAACACUAAUAAAGAUUACGCAGUUUGAGUCUCUCAAAUCUCUUAAGACACAAUGAUUCUCUCUUAGACACUAAACGGCUCUCUAGUCUCUUAAUCUUUC
rnacentral:lncRNA from 1 species